UCCGGACGGGGGGGGGAUACGCGUGAGAAUCUGCCUUUUGGACCGGGACAACUGCUGGAAACGGCAGCUAAGACCGGAUGUGCCCUUGGGUGAAAUAUUCAUAGCCAAAAGAGGAGCUCGCGACCGAUUAGCUAGUUGGUGGGGUAAGAGCCUACCAAGGCUGCGAUCGGUAGCCGGUUUGAGAGGACGACCGGCCACACUGGGACUGAGACACGGCCCAGACUCCUACGGGAGGCAGCAGUGGGGAAUUUUCCGCAAUGGGCGAAAGCCUGACGGAGCAAUACCGCGUGAGGGAGGAAGGCUCUUGGGUCGUAAACCUCUUUUCUCAGGGAAGAAGCAAUGACGGUACCUGAGGAAUCAGCAUCGGCUAACUCCGUGCCAGCAGCCGCGGUAAUACGGAGGAUGCAAGCGUUAUCCGGAAUGAUUGGGCGUAAAGCGUCCGCAGGUGGCACAUCAAGUCUGCUGUCAAAGCCCCCAGCUUAACUGGGAAGAGGCGGUGGAAACUGGUGAGCUAGAGAGCAAUAGGGGUAGAGGGAAUUCCCGGUGUAGCGGUGAAAUGCGUAGAGAUCGGGAAGAACACCAGUGGGCGAAAGCGCUCUACUAGGUGCAACUCGGACCUUCACACCGUGCGACAAGCC
rnacentral:rRNA from 1 species